UGCGCAGUCGUGAGUCCUCGUGUCCUUGAGCAUCCAGCUUCUUUCCCUCAAGUGGCUGGGGUUCCUGUUUCCUUCUUCGAGUGACAACUUGUGGUAACCCUCGCACUUCUCUGGGCCAGUUUUUGCUUUUAAGUCUUUCCGGAGCUACCUGGAAUUUAAAUCAUUUUGCUUUACUGUCAUUAGCACCGCGCCCUUCCCCAAGAGUCUCCGAAGGGUUGCGGCUUUUCCGUGGCGCAGUUCUCGCGAGAAGGUCACUUUCUGCUCGGUAUUUCCUGGUUUCCAGAAUCCUUAGCGCGAGGCGGAAAAAAUAUCCCAGCUUGUGUGGAGGCUGCGAUUUUGACUGAGACUUCUUCCCACGAUUUCUGUUUUGCUUCUCCAAGGAAAAUGGCAGCUCCCGAGCAGCCGCUUGCGAUAUCAAGGGGAUGCACGAGCUCCUCCUCGCUUUCCCCGCCUCGGGGCGACCGAACCCUUCUGGUCAGGCACCUGCCGGCUGAGCUUACCGCUGAGGAGAAAGAGGACUUGCUGAAGUACUUCGGGGCGCAAUCCGUGCGCGUCCUGUCAGAUAAGGGGCGACUGAAACAUACAGCUUUUGCCACAUUCCCUAAUGAAAAAGCAGCUAUAAAGGCAUUGACAAGACUCCAUCAGCUGAAACUUUUAGGUCAUACUUUAGUCGUUGAAUUUGCAAAAGAACAAGAUCAGGUUCACUCCCCAUGUCCCACUUCAGGCUCUGAAAAAAAAAAAAGGUCUGACGACCCUGUUGAAGAUGAUAAAGAAAAAAAAGAACUUGGUUAUUUAACAGUGGAGAAUGGAAUUGCACCAAACCAUGGGCUGACUUUUCCUUUAAAUUCAUGCCUCAAGUAUAUGUACCCACCACCUUCCAGCACAAUCCUUGCAAACAUAGUAAAUGCCUUGGCAAGUGUGCCUAAGUUCUAUGUACAGGUCCUUCAUCUUAUGAAUAAAAUGAAUUUGCCCACACCUUUUGGACCAAUUACUGCGCGACCUCCCAUGUAUGAAGACUAUAUGCCGUUGCAUGCACCUCUUCCACCCACAUCUCCUCAGCCACCUGAGGAGCCUCCUUUGCCAGACGAGGAUGAGGAAUUAUCUAGUGAAGAAUCAGAAUAUGAAAGCACAGAUGAUGAGGACCGACAGAGAAUGAACAAAUUAAUGGAACUAGCAAAUCUUCAGCCCAAAAGACCAAAAACAAUAAAGCAGCGCCAUGUGAGAAAAAAGAGAAAAAUAAAGGAUAUGUUGAAUACACCUUUGUGUCCUUCACACAGCAGCUUACAUCCAGUGCUGUUACCUUCAGAUGUAUUUGACCAACCACAACCUGUAGGUAAUAAAAGAAUUGAAUUCCAUAUAUCUACUGACAUGCCAGCUGCAUUUAAGAAAGAUUUAGAGAAGGAACAAAAUUGUGAGGAAAAAAAUCAUGAUUUACCUGCUACUGAAGUUGAUGCAUCCAAUAUAGGAUUUGGAAAAAUCUUCCCCAAACCUAAUUUGGACAUCGCAGAGGAGAUUAAAGAAGACUCUGAUGAAAUGCCAUCAGAAUGUAUUUCCAGAAGGGAAUUGGAAAAGGGCAGAAUUUCUAGAGAAGAAAUGGAAACACUUUCAGUUUUCAGAAGUUAUGAACCUGGUGAACCAAACUGUAGAAUUUAUGUAAAGAAUUUAGCUAAACAUGUUCAAGAAAAGGACCUUAAAUAUAUUUUUGGAAGAUAUGUUGACUUUUCAUCAGAAACACAGCGGAUCAUGUUUGAUAUACGUUUGAUGAAAGAAGGUCGUAUGAAAGGACAAGCUUUCAUUGGACUUCCUAAUGAAAAAGCAGCAGCAAAAGCCUUAAAGGAAGCUAACGGAUAUGUACUAUUUGGAAAACCCAUGGUGGUUCAGUUUGCUCGAUCUGCUAGACCAAAACAAGAUCCUAAGGAAGGAAAAAGAGUUAAAAAUUAAUAAAGAAGCAUUCCUGCGUAAAUACUGCUGUAAUACUGUCAUGCAAAGUGUAUCCUUUCUUGUUGUAUCCUUUUUGGGGCAGUGGUUUUUUGUUUUUUUCUUAGAAAUGUUUGUCCUUCCCCCACCUGUUGAUCCAGGUUAAGCAAUACUUUUUUACAGUUUAUUCAAAUGAAAUAUUUCUAAAAUUAUUUGUAUAGAUUGAACAAAUCUUUUAUAUGUUUUUAAUUUGUUGUUGAAUUUUCUGUGUUGUCCUUUAGGUUAUAUAAUUUUUUGAGGGAAAGUUAGUGAAUCAGGUCAACUUACUUAGAGAAUGUGUUCAUUUACUUUAACUCAGAGUACAGUCUUGUUUCUUCUAUUUGUAUAUUUCCUAAACCUAAUUCAAUAACAUGCUUUCUGUUGUAUAAUGUAUCUGGUUUAGGUAUUUAUAAUGUGUUUAAAAUUUAAUUGGGCAAAGGACAUGUUUUUCUUUUAAAAAGUAUUUAUAUUGAAAAUUAAGAUGUCUGGAUUACUAUGUAAAUUCUAAAGAGUAGCAGACCUCUCAUUUGAAGUCUUAAGUGAGUCUCUUUUGACAUAGAUAGCAAUAGAAGUAUCUUUCUUCUUUCCCCUUUCUUUUUCUAAACAAGAGAAGAAAAGUGUAAUAGAGGGGAGAACACAUAAUGCUGACUAAGGGUAGUGCAUUAAGUGGAAAACAGUCUUGGCAGGUAUAUAGGAAUAGUGGUUUCCCGACUGGUUGAUGACCAUAAUCGCCAAGAACAGUGGUUCUCAGUCUUGGCUGCACAUUACAGUGAUCUGGAACUUGAAUGAAAUACUAAUUUUAAAAGGGUACAGUGGUUCAUACUUGUAAUCCCAGCACUUUGCAAGUCCGAAAUGGGAGAAUCACUUGAGCCCAGGAGUUUGAGACCAGCCUGGGCAAUGUAGGGAGACCCUGUCCCUACAAAAAGAUACAAAAAGUAGCCGACUGUGGUGGCUUCCACCUCUGGUCUCAGCUACUUGGGAGGCUAAGGCAGGAGGAUCACUUGAGCCCCAGAGGUUAAGGUUGCAGUAAGCCAUGAUCACACCACUGCAUUCUAGCCUGGUGACAGAGUGAGACCCUCUCCCUCCUUAAAAAAAAAAAAAAAAAAAAAAAAAAAACUUAAGAAAUAUAUUGAUGCCUGGUUCCCUUGGUCAGAAUUUUGAUUUAAGGUAUUGGGAGUGUAGCACAGAUGUUGGAAUAAACCUCUCAAACAGAUUUUAAUGUACAACCAAGGUUGAGAACCACCAACGAAGAGUUUUUAUGCAUAAAAAUUCCUAUACUCUACCCUAGAACCAAUACAUCUGCAUCUCUGGGAAUGGAGUAUAAGAAUCUGAUUUGAAAAAGUUUCCUUAGUAAUUCUAAGAACUGACCAUUUUAGACAUUGCUUUGUUAGAGUAAAAUGGUUAGGUACCUAGUAUCAACCUAGCCAUCCAACCUUAUAUUAAUAACUAGAAAAAUAAAGGGUUGGAGCCUCCGUGUUUCUUUGUUGAAAAAUCUGCUACUAUUAUUAGUUCUAUGAAAACAAUUCAAAAUUUGGUUAUUAUCAUCUUAAAAGUACAAAACCUAUAGAUAUUGAAAUUGUAAUUAUUUUUCUAUAGGCACAGAUAAAUGUUAUAAAUCAGUUUCUUUAUAAGCUGUUAUUUAGAUAAAUUUUGUUAUACUGACAUGAUUCACUAAUUUUCUAAAUAUAAAUGCUUCAGCCUUCAGUUAUUUUUAAACUAAUGAACAGUGUUAUAUUUAUUAUUUUUAAUGGGCUUUUGUGAUGUUUUAGGUUUCUUUUGAAUCCGGUGUGUCCUUCAAGUGCUUUCCAACUUUGAGAGGAAGAAAUUGACCACCUGGACUAUGGAACUAUACUUUCCUGAGUCUGUGAUUACACCUGUACCGUAGAGGCACUGCCCAAAAAGACUCAGCUCUUCUGUAAAAAUGCUGUUGUGAAUCAUAGCUUCUUACCUUUUACAGCACUGUGAGGUAAAGAGAGUAAGAACAUUAGAGACAAGAAUUAGAAGGAUGGAGAAGUGAACCCUGGAGCAUCCAAAUGACAAAGCAAAACCAGAACUGUGAGAUUUUGUUAUUUUAUGAUUGUAAAACACUGAACUGUGCGUUUGGGAGAUUGCUGAUUGAAAGAAGUUAAAGUGUUGAAUCUGGUGAAUCU